GGGAGUGUCUUGUCUGGCUAUGUUGUUAGAUUAAACAAUGAAAACUAUAACUUUUCAAUAAAUGUACUUUCAGGCUAAGGUGCCCAUGUCAAAUUCAUGUGUAAUAAAUAAAUCAUAGAUUACAGUGUAUAUAUUUCAUAUACAUGUAUGAUACGAAUGUAUUAGUAUGUGUCAUGUCCUAAGGGUUUCAAAAAAUAUUUCAUAGUCAGUUAUGGCAAUUUAUUCAUUUAAACCAAUUCAAAAGACUAUUUGUUUAGUUGGAUCCGCCACCUUUCAAAAUAACAUUGUGCAGUUAUCGCCCUUACGGUGGAGCUCUUCUUAUCAAUGCGAUAUCAACACUGGAAGACUCACUCUGAGAAGAAUUUUGUGAAUUUACAGCGGAUUAUAUAUAGAACUUGCCUGCAACUCUCCUGAAACCCUCCUUUACUUUAGUAGCCAUCUCUCCGACCGGAAACUUUAUGUAAUCGGAGAAAACAUCAACAACGGCCCUUGCUACAGAUUUGACCGCUCUUCCAGCUGAGGAUUCGGACACGUUCAGACUAUCUCCAAUGAGUCUCAGGUGGGCCCCCGUGGCAACGAAACGCAAAAAUAGUAGAACUUGAAUCAGAGGAGGAAUAGGACGGUUCCUGACAGUGUCUGUCUCUAGGCGAUUACCAACUCCAUUCAAAAUGAAAACAAUACUUUCUGGUGAAAAGCGGUAUCUUUGGAAGAUUUCAUCCUCCUCCAGACUCUCAAGAGGAUUACUAAGGUCCCGAAAUACCCGAGGUCGUCUUAAAAUGCGCCGAUUUUGUCUCCGCUGACGUCUGCGUCUGAUCAUAGCAGCCAUUUUUAAUGUUUGAGAACGUUCUUAAGUCUGCAUUUUUGUAGACUCAAAUAUUUGAGAAUAAAACUGAUUUUGAGAAUUU